UACGUAGGGUGCGAGCGUUAAUCGGAAUUACUGGGCGUAAAGCGUGCGCAGGCGGUUCGUUAAGUUCGAUGUGAAAGCCCCGGGCUCAACCUGGGAAUGGCAUUCAGGACUGCGAGGCUUUGAGUGCGGCAGAGGGAGGUGGAAUUCCACGUGUAGCAGUGAAAUGCGUAGAGAUGUGGAGGAACAUCGAUGGCGAAGGCAGCCUCCUGGGCCAGCACUGACGCUCAUGCACGAAAGCGUGGGGAGCAAACAGG
rnacentral:rRNA from 1 species